AUUCCCUGUGAUGCUAUAACUUACCAUGCUAAUUCUGAUCAUUGAAGUAGUGAUUGAUUCUUACUUUGUUUCUGAGGGAAUU